rnacentral:rRNA from 1 species
CCUACGGGGGGCAGCAGUGGGGAAUAUUGGACAAUGGGCGAAAGCCUGAUCCAGCCAUGCCGCGUGUGUGAAGAAGGCCUUCGGGUUGUAAAGCACUUUCAGUGGGGAAGAAAGCCUUGGGGCUAAUACCCUCGAGGAAGGACAUCACCCACAGAAGAAGCACCGGCUAACUCCGUGCCAGCAGCCGCGGUAAUACGGAGGGUGCGAGCGUUAAUCGGAAUUACUGGGCGUAAAGCGCGCGUAGGCGGUCUGAUAAGCCGGUUGUGAAAGCCCCGGGCUCAACCUGGGAACGGCAUCCGGAACUGUCAGGCUAGAGUGCAGGAGAGGAAGGUAGAAUUCCCGGUGUAGCGGUGAAAUGCGUAGAGAUCGGGAGAAAUACCAGUGGCGAAGGCGGCCUUCUGGACUGACACUGACGCUGAGGUGCGAAAGCGUGGGUAGCAAACAGGAUUAGAUACCCGAGUAGUC